AGUGAACGCUGGCGGUAGGCCUAACACAUGCAAGUCGAACGGCAGCACAGUAGAGCUUGCUCUUACGGGUGGCGAGUGGCGGACGGGUGAGGAAUACAUCGGAAUCUACUUUUUCGUGGGGGAUAACGUAGGGAAACUUACGCUAAUACCGCAUACGACCUACGGGUGAAAGCAGGGGAUCUUCGGACCUUGCGCGAUUGAAUGAGCCGAUGUCGGAUUAGCUAGUUGGCGGGGUAAAGGCCCACCAAGGCGACGAUCCGUAGCUGGUCUGAGAGGAUGAUCAGCCACACUGGAACUGAGACACGGUCCAGACUCCUACGGGAGGCAGCAGUGGGGAAUAUUGGACAAUGGGCGCAAGCCUGAUCCAGUCAUACCGCGUGGGUGAAGAAGGCCUUCGGGUUGUAAAGCCCUUUUGUUGGGAAAGAAGAGCAGCAGGUUAAUACCCCGCUGUUCUGACGGUACCCAAAGAAUAAGCACCGGCUAACUUCGUG
rnacentral:rRNA from 1 species